GUUAAUUAAACAUCUGUAAAACGGACUUUCUCCACAAUAAAUCAUGCAAAAGCACCACUUUAAAUACUAUGUGUACCAAAGAUGUGUUCAUAAGUUUCUCAAACAUAAGUCUUUAACUUUACUAGGACACAGUGGUGCUUUGAGCUCAUCAGCUGCACCCAGUCCAGCCUUUAUUGAUAUAAACACAUUUAUUUCUGACCUGCCAACUCCAUCAAACAGUAACCGAUAGAAAUAAUAAAACAAUAAACUCAAAGUCAACCUGGGCUGAGUCCAGUAGAGCAGCAUGCGUCAGCGAUCAGAUUG